rnacentral:tRNA from 1 species
UGGGAUGUAGCUCAGUGGUAGAGAGCUUGCCUAGCAUGCAUAAGGCCCUGGGUUAGAACCCAGCAAUGCAA